GCUCCGGUGGCCCAAGUGGUUAGAGCGUCCGCCUCCGAUGCGGGAGGUCGCGAGUUUGCCCCCCCCCCGAGCCA